rnacentral:tRNA from 1 species
AUUUAUUUAGCUUAAAUUUUAAAGCGUUAUAUUGAAGAUAUAAAAAUAAUUUAUAAUUAAUAAAUA